rnacentral:rRNA from 1 species
UUCCCAUACCGAACACAGAAGUUAAGCCCUUCAGCGCUGAUGGUACUUGGCGGGAGACUGCCUGGGAGAGUAGGUCGUUGCGACGU